rnacentral:rRNA from 1 species
UACAUGGGGUGCAAACGUUGCUCGGAAUCAUUGGGCGUAAAGCGCGCGUAGGCGGCCAGAUAAGUCCGGUGUGAAAGUCACAGGCUCAACCUGUGAAUGCCGCUGGAAACUGUCUGGCUAGAGUCCGGAAGAGGAGAGUGGAAUUCCUGGUGUAGCGGUGAAAUGCGCAGAUAUCAGGAAGAACACCCGUGGCGAAGGCGGCUCUCUGGGACGGUACUGACGCUGAGACGCGAAAGCGUGGGGAGCGAACAGG